rnacentral:rRNA from 1 species
CAAGUCGAGCGGGCGCUUUCGGGCGUCAGCGGCGGACGGGUUAGUAACGCGUGGGAACGUGCCCUUUGCUCUGGAAUAGCCCUGGGAAACCGGGGGUAAUACCGGAUGUGCCCUGAGGGGGAAAGGUUUUACCGGCAAGGGAUCGGCCCGCGUCUGAUUAGGUAGUUGGUGUGGUAACGGCGCACCAAGCCGACGAUCGGUAGCUGGUUUGAGAGGAUGAUCAGCAACACUGGGACUGAGACACGGCCCAG